rnacentral:rRNA from 1 species
UGACGGUACUUGAGGAGGAAGCCCCGGCUAACUACGUGCCAGCAGCCGCGGUAAUACGUAGGGGGCUAGCGUUAUCCGGAAUUACUGGGCGUAAAGGGUGCGUAGGUGGUUUUUAAGUCAGAAGUGAAAGGCUACGGCUCAACCGUAGUAAGCUUUUGAAACUGAGAAACUUGAGUGCAGGAGAGGAGAGUAGAAUUCCUAGUGUAGCGGUGAAAUGCGUAGAUAUUAGGAGGAAUACCAGUUGCGAAGGCGGCUCUCUGGACUGUAACUGACACUGAGGCACGAAAGCGUGGGGAGCAAACAGGAUUAGAUACCCUGGUAGUCCACGCCGUAAACGAUGAGUACUAGCUGUCGGAGGUUACCCCCUUCGGUGGCGCAGCUAACGCAUUAAGUACUCCGCCUGGGAAGUACGCUCGCAAGAGUG